GGGUUGUGAGGUUAAGCGACUAAGCGUACACGGUGGAUGCCCUGGCAGUCAGAGGCGAUGAAGGACGUGCUAAUCUGCGAAAAGCGUCGGUAAGGUGAUAUGAACCGUUACAGCCGGCGAUGUCCGAAUGGGGAAACCCAGUGCAAUUCGUUGCACUAUCGUUAACUGAAUACAUAGGUUAACGAGGCGAACCGGGGGAACUGAAACAUCUAAGUACCCCGAGGAAAAGAAAUCAACCGAGAUUCCCCCAGUAGCGGCGAGCGAACGGGGAGCAGCCCAGAGUCUGAAUCAGCUUGUGUGUUAGUGGAACGGUCUGGAAAGUCCGACGGUACAGGGUGAUAGUCCCGUACACCAAAAUGCACAGGUUGUGAACUCGAAGAGUAGGGCGGGACACGUGGUAUCCUGUCUGAAUAUGGGGGGACCAUCCUCCAAGGCUAAAUACUCCUGACUGACCGAUAGUGAACCAGUACCGUGAGGGAAAGGCGAAAAGAACCCCGGCGAGGGGAGUGAAAAAGAACCUGAAACCGUGUACGUACAAGCAGUGGGAGCACCUUCGGGUGUGACUGCGUACCUUUUGUAUAAUGGGUCAGCGACUUAUAUUCUGUAGCAAGGUUAACCGUAUAGGGGAGCCGCAGGGAAACCGAGUCUUAACUGGGCGUUAAGUUGCAGGGUAUAGACCCGAAACCCGGUGAUCUAGCCAUGGGCAGGUUGAAGGUUGGGUAACACUAACUGGAGGACCGAACCGACUAAUGUUGAAAAAUUAGCGGAUGACUUGUGGCUGGGGGUGAAAGGCCAAUCAAACCGGGAGAUAGCUGGUUCUCCCCGAAAGCUAUUUAGGUAGCGCCUCGUGAACUCAUCUUCGGGGGUAGAGCACUGUUUCGGCUAGGGGGUCAUCCCGACUUACCAACCCGAUGCAAACUACGAAUACCGAAGAAUGUUAUCACGGGAGACACACGGCGGGUGCUAACGUCCGUCGUGAAGAGGGAAACAACCCAGACCGCCAGCUAAGGUCCCAAAGUCAUGGUUAAGUGGGAAACGAUGUGGGAAGGCACAGACAGCCAGGAUGUUGGCUUAGAAGCAGCCAUCAUUUAAAGAAAGCGUAAUAGCUCACUGGUCGAGUCGGCCUGCGCGGAAGAUGUAACGGGGCUAAACCAUGCACCGAAGCUGCGGCAGCGACACUAUGUGUUGUUGGGUAGGGGAGCGUUCUGUAAGCCUGCGAAGGUGUGCUGUGAGGCAUGCUGGAGGUAUCAGAAGUGCGAAUGCUGACAUAAGUAACGAUAAAGCGGGUGAAAAGCCCGCUCGCCGGAAGACCAAGGGUUCCUGUCCAACGUUAAUCGGGGCAGGGUGAGUCGACCCCUAAGGCGAGGCCGAAAGGCGUAGUCGAUGGGAAACAGGUUAAUAUUCCUGUACUUGGUGUUACUGCGAAGGGGGGACGGAGAAGGCUAUGUUAGCCGGGCGACGGUUGUCCCGGUUUAAGCAUGUAGGCUGGUUAUCCAGGCAAAUCCGGAUAAUCAAGGCUGAGGUGUGAUGACGAGGCACUACGGUGCUGAAGUAACAAAUGCCCUGCUUCCAGGAAAAGCCUCUAAGCAUCAGGUAACAUCAAAUCGUACCCCAAACCGACACAGGUGGUCAGGUAGAGAAUACCAAGGCGCUUGAGAGAACUCGGGUGAAGGAACUAGGCAAAAUGGUGCCGUAACUUCGGGAGAAGGCACGCUGGUGUGUAGGUGAAGUCCCUGCGGAUGGAGCUGAGACCAGUCGAAGAUACCAGCUGGCUGCAACUGUUUAUUAAAAACACAGCACUGUGCAAACACGAAAGUGGACGUAUACGGUGUGACGCCUGCCCGGUGCCGGAAGGUUAAUUGAUGGGGUUAUCCGUAAGGAGAAGCUCUUGAUCGAAGCCCCGGUAAACGGCGGCCGUAACUAUAACGGUCCUAAGGUAGCGAAAUUCCUUGUCGGGUAAGUUCCGACCUGCACGAAUGGCGUAAUGAUGGCCAGGCUGUCUCCACCCGAGACUCAGUGAAAUUGAACUCGCUGUGAAGAUGCAGUGUACCCGCGGCAAGACGGAAAGACCCCGUGAACCUUUACUAUAGCUUGACACUGAACAUUGAGCCUUGAUGUGUAGGAUAGGUGGGAGGCUUUGAAGCGUGGACGCCAGUCUGCGUGGAGCCAACCUUGAAAUACCACCCUUUAAUGUUUGAUGUUCUAACGUUGGCCCCUGACCGGGGUUGCGGACAGUGUCUGGUGGGUAGUUUGACUGGGGCGGUCUCCUCCCAAAGCGUAACGGAGGAGCACGAAGGUUAGCUAAUCCUGGUCGGACAUCAGGAGGUUAGUGCAAUGGCAUAAGCUAGCUUGACUGCGAGCGUGACGGCGCGAGCAGGUGCGAAAGCAGGUCAUAGUGAUCCGGUGGUUCUGAAUGGAAGGGCCAUCGCUCAACGGAUAAAAGGUACUCCGGGGAUAACAGGCUGAUACCGCCCAAGAGUUCAUAUCGACGGCGGUGUUUGGCACCUCGAUGUCGGCUCAUCACAUCCUGGGGCUGAAGUAGGUCCCAAGGGUAUGGCUGUUCGCCAUUUAAAGUGGUACGCGAGCUGGGUUUAGAACGUCGUGAGACAGUUCGGUCCCUAUCUGCCGUGGGCGCUGGAGAAUUGAGGGGGGCUGCUCCUAGUACGAGAGGACCGGAGUGGACGCAUCACUGGUGUUCGGGUUGUCAUGCCAAUGGCACUGCCCGGUAGCUAAAUGCGGAAGAGAUAAGUGCUGAAAGCAUCUAAGCACGAAACUUGCCCCGAGAUGAGUUCUCCCUGAGACU
rnacentral:rRNA from 2 species